CUGAAAUAAAACCUUGUGUGUUCAAUCUUUAUACAUGCAUAUCAUAUGCUGCACAUCAAUACUUCUCAUUCUUUGUAACAUACAUAGGGAAGCAAUCUUCAUCCAGCAAGCACAUUAAUCAUAAUUUUCCUGAACAUAUUUUUUCCGAUCCUUUUUUGAAAGCUUCACCAGCCACAUCUAUCUUCUUGAAAGUUUUCAUGAUCAUGUUAAUUGGAUACAGAUGUCAUAUACUCGUGGAUCUUUCCCACCACAGAUCUGUCAAGCGGGCUUCCGGCCUUUGUUUUGUGAAUGUUUGAUGACUGAUAUGACCUGCCUGUAUCAUCAAAAGUCCUGUCAUAUACUCAUGGACUGGAUGAGAUGACCCUGACUUGACAAGUCCAGGUUUUGAAGCAGCGCCCCUACCUUGAGAAUUACUGUUUAUUACAAGACGCACUUUCAGUUGGGGCUCUUGGUGUGUGGGUACACUAACAGCACUGCCUUCAACUUCACUAGUCUGAGAAUGUGGC
rnacentral:lncRNA from 1 species